rnacentral:rRNA from 1 species
UACGUAGGGUGCAAGCGUUAAUCCGAAUUACUGGGCGUAAAGCGUGCGCAGGCGGUGAUGUAAGACAGAUGUGAAAUCCCCGGGCUCAACCUGGGAACUGCAUUUGUGACUGCAUCGCUGGAGUGCGGCAGAGGGGGAUGGAAUUCCGCGUGUAGCAGUGAAAUGCGUAGAUAUGCGGAGGAACACCGAUGGCGAAGGCAAUCCCCUGGGCCUGCACUGACGCUCAUGCACGAAAGCGUGGGGAGCAAACAGG